CCUGGAUCGGGUUCUCUAGUCUCCCCCACCCCUUCUGCGCAAAAUAGCAGCAGCCCCCGGACUCCGCCCCUUAGGAACUUUCGCUUUCGCUGCAAGCAAAUUCCUGGGGCUUUUUAUUAUAUUCCUUUCCCUUAUAACGCACGUGUCUGCACAGCAGGCAACUCUUCCACAGCACCUCCGCUGGCGAGGAAGGGGGUGUCGGCACUGAACGAGGUCCCCCCCCCCACUUCCCAAACCCCAGAAUAACUACUGCCCUCCCGGAACACGGAGCGCUUCUCUACCUGCCCGCGUCGCAUCUCUGCAGGUUUUGCUGCUCCUAUUGCUGUUUUUCUCCCCAUUUGGGCCACUCAAGGGCUGCAGUUUUAAUUAUUCACCUAUCGCUACUUCUGACUUUUUCCAGGAUAUAAAACCACUGAACCCCUUCCCCUCUUUUUUAAGGGGAAACCUCAGCAUGCUGGCCACCCACCAAAUUACAUGGAGAUGAUUUGGUAUCAUGGAACUCCAGAUUCUUCUGUGGUUUUGCUGCUCCUAUUGCUGUUUUUCUCCCCAUUUGGGCCACUCAAGGGCUGCAGUUUUAAUUAUUCACCCAUCGCUACUUCUGACUUUUCCCAGGAUAUAAAACCACUGAAAGAAUAUUUGCUCCUGGACUACAAAGUAUCCAUGCCGUUCAAUCUGAAACCGGACAUAUUCUGCAGUGUAUUAUGGGACCUUCAUUUCAUCAAUGAAAACUUAAAGAAAUUAAUCAACGUGUCUGGGAAAAGACUGAAAAAAUUAUUUGAGAAGUUAUAUGAUCACACAAAAUUUGUUGAAGAUUGUAAUAUCGAAGUAGAUAAUAGUUCUACCAGUUUUGAAUUGAUAAAUAUCUCUCAGUUUAUAGAUGUCAUUCCUUCCCGCCUUCAGUUUCUAUCAAAGGAGAUAGAGAGGAUUACAUCAGAAGAAGAGCAUGUUGAUUUUAAGAACUGCACCAUUAUUCAGAGCCAAAUAGUGGUCCUCUUCGAGAGCAAUUUAAAAUUACCACAUCCCCGUGGUAUGGGAUCUACAUCACUCAGCAUCCUUGAGCCUGUUCUAUCCCACUCCUAGCCUUUCUCUUGAAGAACUAACCUGGAACAACCUGUCCGAGGGGCUGCUGUCAUGAGCCAUGAGCUUCAGUUGUGGCUCCCACCCCUCGAAUCCAAUAUGAGAAGGUUUAACUGCCAUCCAAAGACUUUUUAAGAACUCAGGAGUUUAUGAAUACAGUCACAUAUGAAUAAAAUGAGGAAUCACCACUUCCAGAUUUCUGUUACAGAGGAACUAGAAAAUCAUAAGGACAUGGAACCAACCAUCACAGCUGCUAGCAACAAAUGUUGUGAUUUAACAAAACUCUUUGUAAAAAAGGAAAGUAACGGAUGAUUUCAAGAGACAAAUUUUUUGUAUGUCUAACCACAGUUGACAAAAUAAAUAAAGUAUAAGUUUUAAC